AUUAAAAUCAUGUUCAUGAAAGAGACUAUGCACUCACACAUCUUCAACAAAUAUUUAACUCUUUAACAUAUAUUUAAUACUUUAAUUAAUACUUGUAUUAAAAUCAUGUUCAUGAAAGAGACUAUGCACUCACACAUCUUCAACAAAUAUUUAACUCUUUAACAUAUAUUUAAUACUUUAAUUAAUACUUGUAUUAAAAUCAGGUUCAUGAAAGGGACUAUGUACUCACUUGAUAAGGUGGUGAUUCCGAACUCAGACAACGCUUCGCUUCUAAAAAAGUAAUUUCCUUUGACGAAACCUAGUAUUAUUACGACUAGAGUUUAGUCUAUUAUUCGCCGAGACUAACUAAUAGUCUAGCUAUUAUUACUAUUAUAUAAGCGUGAAACAAUACUUAUAUAACCCAUUAAUAAUAGCCCAAUUACUUAGUAUAAGUUCUUAAUAACGUUACUAUAAUUAAAAAAACGAUAUAUUAAAAAUAGCGUAGGCGUAGCUCACUUACAGCGGGUUUUAUAGAAAACUGGGCUUUGCUUGGAGCAGCGUUCCCGAGCCGAAAAGCUCUUCUUCUCGGAGCCGUCAAGCACUCCGAGGCUUCUGCCUCGUGCUAGGGAGGUUCCCUAGGCUUUUCGGGGGGUUUCGGGGCUAGAGAGAGGUUCUAGAGAGAGAGAGAGUAAAAAGAAGAAAGAAUGGGAAAGGUGUGAAGAAAAUGAGGGUGGCAGAGGUUCUAUUUAUAGGGUGAAAAUGGCUGAACUUGUUGCCACAUGUCACCAUCUAGUUGCAAGACUUGGGGAGAAAGCAAUGGCCAAGAUUGUGCCAUAUCACCCAUUUUCGCACAACACACUUCCGACUUCUAAAAUCCGUAACUUUCACAUACGACCUCCAUUUUUGACGUUUUUUAUAUCCACACGUAGGUAAAAAUAAGAUCUACAACUUUCAUUUUGACUCCGUCUGCUAAUUCUCGACCAAUCUUAAAUUUAACAGUUCAAGGAGAUU
rnacentral:lncRNA from 1 species